rnacentral:rRNA from 1 species
UGCUGCUUCGCUGACGAGUGGCGGACGGGUGAGUAAUGUCUGGGAAACUGCCUGAUGGAGGGGGAUAACUACUGGAAACGGUGGCUAAUACCGCAUAACGUCGCAAGACCAAAGAGGGGGACCUUCGGGCCUCUUGCCAUCAGAUGUGCCCAGAUGGGAUUAGCUUGUUGGUGAGGUAACGGCUCACCAAGGCGACGAUCCCUAGCUGGUCUGAGAGGAUGACCAGCCACACUGGAACUGAGACACGGUCCAGACUCCUACGGGAGGCAGCAGUGGGGAAUAUUGCACAAUGGGCGCAAGCCUGAUGCAGCCAUGCCGCGUGUAUGAAGAAGGCCUUCGGGUUGUAAAGUACUUUCAGCGGGGAGGAAGGUGUUGUGGUUAAUAACCGCAGCAAUUGACGUUACCCGCAGAAGAAGCACCGGCUAACUCCGUGCCAGCAGCCGCGGUAAUACGGAGGGUGCAAGCGUUAAUCGGAAUUACUGGGCGUAAGGCGCACGCAGGCGGUCUGUCAAGUCGGAUGUGAAAUCCCCGGGCUCAACCUGGGAACUGCAUUCGAAACUGGCAGGCUUGAGUCUUGUAGAGGGGGGUAGAAUUCCAGGUGUAGCGGUGAAAUGCGUAGAGAUCUGGAGGAAUACCGGUGGCGAAGGCGGCCCCCUGGACAAAGACUGACGCUCAGGUGUGAAAGCGUGGGGAGCAAACAGGAUUAGAUACCC